UUUUCAAUAGUGUCGAGCGUCUGGUC
rnacentral:sRNA from 1 species